GGCAAGGUGGCCGAGUGGUCUAAGGCGCUAGUUUUAGGAAUUUCUUCUUGUCGGAACGAAAACCACUAGUUCGAAAGAGCAUGGGUUCGAAUCCCAUCCUUGUCA
rfam:Aspergillus aculeatus ATCC 16872 unplaced genomic scaffold ASPACscaffold_12, whole genome shotgun sequence.